UCCCAGUUAGUACAAUGGUUCAGUAUAGGGCACUCUCAUAAGUCGGCGAUCUCCGGAUUGCUAAGUGCUGCUCAGAUCAGGGUUCGAUUCCCUGGCCGGGAA